rnacentral:rRNA from 1 species
AAAAAACCCUGGGAUCAAUCCCUCGUACAAAGUUGGGUGGGAGUAGGAGCGAGGCCUCCUACUCGUUCGGCGCCGCCGCCGCUCCAUCCCUUCGUAGUUGGGAUUGUACGAGAGAGUGCCAGAUCCGGCCCGGGAGCCGCCGUAGAGCCUCCACCUAGCAGAGGAGCAGCAGCAUCAACAGCCACACAGCUCGCCUCGCCGCACCGCAAAACAUCGAGGGCAGGGGCACCUAGCAGAGGAGCGCGCGGCAAGAUCGUCACCAUCAAAGCCCCGGCCCCUUUCUCGCCGGGCCAUGGCGGCGGCGGUUGACGGCACCCGGAAGCACGGGGCGGCGGCCUUCCUGGACGACCCCUUUGAGGUGCUGCAGGCGAAGCGGGGCCGGUGCUCGCCGUCCGCCGCCACGGUGCGGUCACCGACCUCGGCAUCAACAUGGAGUUCGACCCCGUCGAGGCGCUCCAGUCCGUAUUCCCCGGCGCCGAUCCGCAGAUGUACCCGGAGGUGAAGGGGAAAUUUCCGGCAGCCAAAAAAAUAUUUAAUAAGUUAUUACUAAUUUGGUCUGGAAUGAAGAGAACAAUGGGGAAGGAGUAAUUGGUAUAUUGGGGUUUCAGUGUGUAUUGCUAAAGCUAUUCUGUUGGGGGAACUGACCGGAAUUAGUGAAAAGUUUUGUCAGGGAUAAUACGACUGACCCAACUGUUACCGGUGCCAUGCUUUUGGGGUCGACCAAAACAUUUAAAAACGUUAAAUGUGGUUAUGUGAUAAUAACAUAUAAUGUAUUAUUUGUGUUCAUUCCUUUAAUGUGGAUUAUAACAUGAUCUACCUUUGCUUCAACAUCGAGGACUACUUUUGGUUCAUAUUCAUGCAGCCACUUCUCGAUUUUGAGAUUUUUCACAUGUAUUGAACUUGUCUUAGUCAGCCCAACUCAGCUGUAUGCGUGACAUUUAUAAAGUGACUCCGUAAAAUUCAUAAAAGAGACUAUUCUUUUAUUCUGUUC